CCACCGCUCUCCAAGGACUCUCGAGCAGCUCCAUCUACAGAUUCACAUGGAGAAGAAUUAAGGGUUCCUGCCAAUCACCAGCACCACUUUGCCAGCCUUGUAAGUGGGCCACCUUGGAAUUGGAGCCUCCAGUUCCUACUGACAUCUGACUGCAACAUCAUGAGAGACCCUGAGUUUGAACCACCCAGCUGAGCUGCUUCUGAGCUAACCCACUGAAACCUUGGCAUCUGUGUGAAGAUGUGAAUGGAGGAGGCAGAGUAGGCAGUGAGUGCCGCAGCCACAGCUUGUGUUCUCUGCAGCCCUGGCACAGAAGAUAGGAACACUCAUGGGGGAUGCGGCCACUGUGAUGUCUUCCCACACAAGAAGUGCCAAGUGCUUUUCUCAUGCUUUUCUGGAUUGUCCCAUGGUGGACGAGUCAGCAGGAGUGAGAUGGAGCAGCACAGUAGAGGGCACCUGCUCUGUUUUGUCCCAGGCCAGGAUAUCGUUGUACAUAUUCUCAGCUAAGUGAGCACCAAUAGAGGAGAGGGAGAGUCUCAUGGAAGUUCCUUCUAAGCCUUUGGCUCUUUUUACCUUCAACAAGGUGUGCCACCUCUUUGAUCCAGCAAGUGGGAAGAACAGUCCCGGCCUCUUUGCACACAAGACCGUGAUACCAAUGCACCAUCACAGGCCCCACAGGGGAGCUGUCCGCUUCCCCACACAGCUGCUAGGGGCUCUUUUGCAUGUUCCCAACCUUUCCUGCCUUUAUCUGAUAUUCGUUCCUUAGAUCCUGGGAUGAGGAGGUGGACCAGCAGAAGGUGGGCUUGUGAAGGCAGCCCGGGGUCCAAAUCCUCCUGGCUCUUCAGCUUAGCGGGUUAGUUAACAUUCAGAAGCCUUCAUCUCCCAUCUGCAAAAUGGGCAUGUCCAACUCAGAAGCUGCCUUGAAGAAAGGGUCUACCCAGCAUGGUGCGUGGAGCCUAAGCAGUCAGUACUUCAGGACUUCACCCGGCCCCUUUCCAAUAACUGCUGCUGUCGCCCUCACAGGAUGUCACCUUCAGCGUCUGAAAGCUGGGUUUGAUGCGUCUGGAAAGGCGUCCCUGACAGGCGUCGUUGCCAGGAGCCCCUAGUGCCACCAGCAGCCAGCAGGGGAGGGCGUCCUCUGCCCGCUCACUUCUGACCCUUCUCUCGUUGCACCCGGAACAUGGUGCAGCUGGGAGCAGCCUGGGCUGCGCGGAAGGCUCAGAUUUGGGGACGGCCCUUGCCAGUGACUGUGAGCUGGGGUGUCUUGGAAACUCCCAGUCUCAGCUUCUCCAUUUAUAAGAUGAGAAUGAUCAUACCAGACUCAGGCAAGGUUGUUUGUGCAUUAGUGAAAUCAGACGUAUUAAAUAAAGUACCACAUUGAUCGUGGAGUUGUUGAAUAACCAAGAA
rnacentral:lncRNA from 1 species